rnacentral:rRNA from 1 species
UAUGUGAUCGUCUCUCGCAUAUCAAUAAGCGGAGGAAAAGAAACUAACAAGGAUUCCCCUAGUAACAGGCGAGUGAAGCGGGAAGAGCUCAAAUUUGAAAUCUUAAAGGGUUUCCCUUUACGAAUUGUAGUUUAAAGAAGUGUUUUCUGUUGAGGUUUUGGUAAAAGUUCUUUGGAAUAGGACAUCAUAGAGGGUGAGAAUCCCGUAUUUGACCUUUACUUUCAACUUUGUGAUACUACUUUCAAAGAGUCGGAUUGUUUGGGAAUGCAGUCCAAAAUGGGUGGUAAAUUUCAUCUAAAGCUAAAUAUUGGCGAGAGACCGAUAGCGAACAAGUACCGUGAGGGAAAGAUGAAAAGAACUUUGAAAAGAGAGUUAAACAGUACGUGAAAUUGUCAAAAGGGAAGCGUUUGACACCAGUGUUGUUUUUCUGAAAAUCAAUUAAAGAACUGUUUAUGCUAAGCUGUUUAGACUUUAUCAGCUAACUGUUUAGUUUUGAGCUUUUCUUUAAUGCACUUUUCAGUUAACAAGUCAACAUCAAUUUCUUUUGCUGUAAAAAAGCUUGAGGAAGGUGGCUUGAGAUUCGUCUUAAGUGUUUAUAGCCUCUUGCCUAUGCAGUCGGAGAGAUUGAGGUCUGCAGCGUAGAUCCUUCGGGGCUAAAUGCAUUUGUGCUAAGUUAUAGCAUUUUAUAGACAACUUGUUGACUAUGAUUUGUCUUGUAGCUUACUCGCUUAUGUUAUUUUACCUACGCUUAGGAUGUUGAGUAGCGACAUACGCAC